rnacentral:rRNA from 1 species
UACAGAGGGUGCGAGCGUUGUUCGGAAUUAUUGGGCGUAAAGGGUGCGUAGGCGGUUUGGUAAGUCUUAUGUGAAAUCUAUGGGCUCAACUCAUAGUCUGCAUGAGAAACUGCCGGGCUUGAGUAUGGGAGAGGUGAGUGGAAUUCCUGGUGUAGCGGUGAAAUGCGUAGAUAUCAGGAGGAACACCUGUGGCGAAAGCGGCUCACUGGACCAUAACUGACGCUGAUGCACGAAAGCUAGGGGAGCAAACAGG